GUAGCUUUUUUAAACCCAUUCUUUAUAACUGAUUAUACUGUAGGGACGAAAGUCUCUGCUUUUAACUAGAUAGCAACUUUCAGCAGUGGAUGUCUAGGCUCGCACAUCGAUGAAGAACGCUGCGAACUGCGAUACGUAAUGCGAAUUGCAGGAUUCAGUGAGUCAUCGAAAUUUUGAACGCAUAUUGCACUUCCGGGUUAGUCCUGGGAGUAUGCCUGUAUCAGUGUCCGUACAUCAAACUUGGUUUUCUUCCUUCCGUGUAGUCGGUGGUGGAUGUGCCAGAUGUGAAGUGUCUUGCGGCUGGUCUUCGGAUCGGCUGUGAGUCCUUUGAAAUGUACUGAACUGUACUUCUCUUUGCUCCAAAAGCGUGGCGUUGCUGAUUGUGGAGGCUGCUUGCGUAGCCAGUCUGGCGACCAGUUUGUCUGCUGUGGCAUUAAUGGAGGAGUGUUCGAUUCGCGGUAUGGUUGGCUUCGGCUGAACAGACGCUUAUUAAAUAUUUCUUCAGCUGUGGUGGUAUGAGUUGGUGAACCGUAGCUAUGUGAGCUUGGCUUUUGAAUUGGCUUUGCUGUUGCGAAGUAGAGUGGCGGCUUCGGCUGUCGAGGGUCGAUCCAUUUGGGAACUUGUGUAUGCUUCGGCAUGCAUCUCAA
rnacentral:rRNA from 1 species